CCCUUCCCCCAAUCCCAUUUCCUCCAAACCCUCCGCCACAAACCCUUAUCCCCCACCUCUCAAGCUCCUCUAUUCACUUUCUCUCUCCUCAUUUUCUUCAAAAAUCCAAUCUUUUUCACAAACCCAUCAAUAAAUUUGAAGGAGGAGAGAGAUUGAGAAAAAGGGUUUUUGUAAAACUUCAUAAAUCAAUCAAUUAAUCCAAAAAACGAUGGAUUCAGAUCAGGGGAAAUUGUUUGUUGGUGGGAUUUCAUGGGAAACUUCAGAAGAAAAAUUGAAAGAUUAUUUUGGACAAUUUGGUGAUGUUUUUCAGGUUAAUAUUAUGAAAGAUAAAGCUACUGGUAGACCUAGAGGUUUUGGGUUUGUUCUUUUUUCAGAUCCUUCUGUUGUUGAUAGAGUUCUUCAGGAAAAACACACCAUUGAUGGAAGACCAGUUGAGGCUAAGCGAGCCAUGUCGCGAGAAGAGCAGCAGAACACUGGUAGAGGUGGAAAUAAUGGUAGUAGAAACGGAGGCGGAGGAGGAAACUUCAGAACUAAGAAGAUUUUUGUUGGGGGGUUGCCUCCUACUUUAUCUGAUGAAGGUUUUAGGCAGUAUUUUGAGAACUAUGGCCAUGUAACCGAUGUAGUUAUAAUGUAUGAUCAAAACACAGAUAGACCUCGAGGUUUUGGAUUCAUCUCGUUUGAUAGUGAGGAUGCAGUAGAUAGAGUUAUACAGAAUACCUUUCAUGACUUAAAUGGUAAACAAGUUGAGGUGAAGCGUGCUCUUCCCAAGGAUGCUAACCCUGGUAUGUCUAGCCGUGGCGGUGGAGGUGGUUAUAAUUCUGGUGGUGGUCAAAAUGCUUAUGAUGGUAGAAUGGAUUCUAAUAGGUACAUGCAAUCUCAGAGUGCUGGAGGUGCAUUUCCACCUUAUGGUUCUUCUGGCUAUGGUGCAGCUGGUUAUGGAUAUGGGCCUGCUAAUACUGGCAUGGGAUAUGGUGGGUAUGCUGGAUAUGGCGGUGGGAAUCCUGGGUAUGGGGGUCCUGCAAGUGCUGCUUAUGGUAAUCCCAAUGUUUCCAACGCCGCAAGGAGUUCAUGGAAUGCACAGGCAGCCUCUGCUUAUGGUGCAGCAGCUGGCUAUGGGAGUGCAGGUCCUUGGGCCGCUACUGCUGCAGGAAGUGGUGGACCAACUGGUCAAUCUCCAAGUGGAGCUUCGGGGUAUGCUAAUCAAGGUUAUGGAUAUAAUAACUAUGGUGGCGGGGAUGGUUAUGGUAAUGUAGGAAAUCGUGCUGCAGGAGCCGCUGGUAGCAAUGCCUCUGCUGGUGGUGGAGAGAUGCAAGGUGGCUAUGGAAGUGGAUACGGCGAUGCCAAUGGUCAUGGAGGAUAUGGGGCUGGAGCUUAUGCGGGCCAGGCAAAUGGACCUCAGAUGGGCUAUGGUGGUGGAUAUGGAGGGGCUCAAAAUCGGCAAGUGCAGUAGCUGUAGCUCUUCAUCAAACUGAGUUAUCAUGGAAAGGAAUAGCCCCUUUCAAUCUCAAGUAUACUGUUGGACUGGAGAGGUGCUCGAGUUCUCAAGUGAGGGGCUUCACACAGCUAAAUGCAACUUUGUGGCGGAAUGUUUAAAACCUGGAAUCAUUUUUUAUCGUGAGAGAAUAUUCUGAUGGCAUAAUGCAUUCACUGGGACUGAUCAACCCACGCAAGACCCUCUUCCGUUCUAACCUCUAAUCUUCUAUCAAGUUAUGGUGGGGCUGAAGGAAAUUUCUAAGAUGAUCUCCCUUCGGUAUGUCUGAGCUCAAUUGAGGAUAUUUUCUUCCUUAGCUAUAUUAGAGGAAUAUGUUUGUCCUAUUAGGAAAUUUUGACUAUUAAAGCUUGGUUUGUCUUAUGGAAUGAAAAGAUAAAUCUUUUGUAUAGUUUUAUCAUUUAUGACUGCUUGUGGCAGUUGAAGUAGGCUACAAAGUAGUUAGUGUCUUUUGAAGUAGUCGAGUUCCCCGUUAGAGCUUGCUUUUUGCUUAGUCUCGUUUGAAUGAUUAGUCAUUUAGUUCAUUUAGAAUUUCAUAGUUUUUUUGUUCUUAUUAUACAAGAGCGCUUUCAGUUA